rnacentral:lncRNA from 1 species
GCUGGGCAACAGCUGUGAUCUGUAACUGACACCUCUCCAGGUCUGCCCUGCUCCCCUUGCCUGGACACUGUGGGAUGGCCCAUGGCUCCUGGCUCCCUGUUCCUUACUGACCAAAGGGUCCUUCCUGCUCCCUAGGCACUCUAUGCUGACUGAAUCCAGACAAGCGGGAGAGCCUAUCGGAUUGACUAGACUAAAGGUAAUUGAAGAAGGACAACUCUGUCUGCACAUUCCAACCCCUCAGUAUUGGUAAGUGAAGAAACUCUAAAGCCUAAUCACCUCUCUCUCCUUGCCUCUCCUUGCUUACACCUAAUGCCCUGCACAUACUCUGCCCUUAUUGUUCCAAUUAUAUUUUAAACAACUUCUUUAUUUGCCUUCUUUUUGUUUAUUUGGGAUGUAAGAGAAGGUAUCAG